CAAGAGUGCAGCAGGGUCCAAUCAAACCUCCUGUCAUAAACUUUUUGGAUGCCCUUGGAGUGUAUCGUGGCCACGCUGAGAUUCUUGUAUCUUCUCUUGGCAUGAUGUUUUCUUUUGGCUCCAGGACCUUGAAGAUGCCAUCCUGUUACCUGGAACACUCAGAUGUCCUCCCUCUCCUUCUCUGCUCAAAGCUUCCUGUGGCCCACUCUGUCAGCCUUCUUAUCCCAGCUGAGUCAUGGCUCUUUUUAGAAAACCUUCUCGGACUUCAAGCCAAGCUGUUAUUGGAAUUUGCCGCCUGUGUUCAAUGGUCAAUGAUCUCCAAGUCACUGCAAUUUAACGUUCACCCUACUGAUGACUCUGACCUUGGUUUGGUCGAGGACAGCAUUGCUGCAUCUAUACUGUCAUCCUUAUCCACCUAAGCUCUUCAGCAUUUGGCAUAAGCCAUGGGUGUCUUGAUGGGUGACUAAUGAAGCAGACUACACAGCAUUUCUCACCUGUUUUAUUACUGUAUCAUUUAUCCUCUCCCAGAUAUCUUUAGAUACUGUUCACCUAAUUUCUCCUCCAUCUCCCCAUUAGAAUUCUAAUAACCCAGAUACAUGUCCAUUUAUGCACUGUGGCCCUUUGGAGGAUCACAAACCAUUACAUAAUAUCUCAGAUUUUAUAUAAUCUUAGAUUAUGUGAAUCUUUUUUUUUUUUUUGCUCCAUAGGAACCAAUUUUUACCUCCUUGUGGGCACUAUCACCCCCAGUGAGAAUGCAUGCAAUAAAAUAAAACUCUAUUUGUCCUCUUGAGAGGGAUAAGAAAAAAAAAUAGUUCCCACUCUUUAAUAAAAGAAUGUGGAUUAUUU
rnacentral:lncRNA from 1 species